ACCAAACACGGUACACUGUUCAUGUCUCACGUUUGACCGUUCGUUUUAUUUGAAAUUUUUUUACGAUUAAUAUUUUUAUUGUUAUUAGAUGAUAAAACAUGAAUAAUCCUUUAUGUGUGACUAACUUAUUUUAAUUUUCUCAUAAAUUUUUCAAAUAAGACGAACGGUCAAACGUUGAACACGGAUUUCUACGGCUGCACUUAUU
rnacentral:pre_miRNA from 1 species